CUGCGUGUUCGAUGAUUGAGAAGAUUGGCUGAACCAAAAAAAGAAGAAGACAAAUGUAAAGAAAGAUGCCCAAUAUCCGGGAGUUGAGGAAGAAAGGGUCUAAAAAGGUCAAAUGGACGCUGGACGCCAUGGUUCGUGCCGUCCAGGAGGUGAAGGAAGGCAGGCAAACCGCAAGAAAGGCCGCCAGGAAGUUUGGCGUCCCAAAGUCCAGCCUGGCGGACCGACUCUCUGGACGCGUAGCCGUCGACUGCGUGCACGGCCAAAAACCGCUUCUCACCUCUGAGGACGAGAGUUCACUGUUGGAGUAUUGUUUGUACUCUGCCAGUCAGGGAUGUCCUCAGAGAAAGCAUCAGGUCAUAACCAACGCUCUGGCAAUUUAUAAUUAUCGUAAUCCGCACCAACCCAGGACCGUUCUAGGCCAAACCUGGUGGAUUAACUUUAUGGAGCGGCACCGGCAUCGCAUUACCUCCCAGAAUAUGCGCUCCUACCUUUUGGAAUCUCAUACGAAAUCACACUCAAAAAGGGGUUCGGUCAAGUUCCAACCGCCCGAGAGUCUGCCUCCCUCCUCCGAUCCCUACCUGGCCCAUCCCCUGGUAGCGUCGGGCCUCGUGACAGCGGAACUGGCCCGCGUCUUGUCCAAAACCAACGAAACCUGCGACGCCCAAAGUGACAGGAGAAGCUUCCAGGUGCUGACAGCGAGGGAGAUGUCAGAUGUCCUGCAGAAGGUGGAGGACAGCGCCGCAAGAGCGGAGGCCAGAAGUGCGACGCGACGGGGAGCGGAAGACACGGACCUGGCGGUCUCCUCCUCCACCUUUCCCGGGGGCUCUUGUCUCGGCGGCAAAAGACCACGGCCCCGCAAGGUCCGUUCAGAUGCUACAAGUCCUGGUGCCGCGGGUCCUCCAGGCCCGUGUGAUCCCACUUCUGCAUCCCAACGCGCCUCAACCAACAUGAGCUUGUCUUCCAAUAAAAUUGACGACGCUUCCAACCUUUGGGGGACCUCCUUCAUGGCUGUAGCUCCCUCGUCUCCUGCCUCCCUUUCCUCAACUGCUGAACCUACAACCUCCACCGUAGCCUACCAAGCUGCUAAGAAGGAACGGUUGGAAAAGAAGCUGUUGCGAUGUGGACGGUGCAGACAGCCUUACCCUCCAAAGGAUCCAGAAGGAACAGCGCGCAGCGGGGUGGACCCUCCUCAUCCAGUGCAUCCAGUGGAAGUCGGAAAAAAAGUAUUUAUUCAUCUGGUUCCCGGUAGCAGCCAUAGCUCCAGGUGUCGACGGACGCUGAAGUCGCGGCCCCUUCGUGGACUGAACACCUCCAGUUAUCAGCAAAGACGAAGCUCCACAACCGCCGCGCGUGCGGUGUGCACACUGCACGCUGCACGCUGCACGCAGGAGUCCGCUGCAAGACAGAGCUCGGUCCUCAGUAUCAGCCUUUCCGUCGAGACUGAGACAUCGUCACCCUUGGGUGUUUCUGCUAAUCGCCUCUCAGCCUGAUAAAGAACAAGACUUGGCUAAAGAGGUACAGAGCUGCCUCUCAGGGGAAAUAGAUCCCAUCAUUUUCUCACACACAGAAAACGGCCCUCUUUUCAAGUCUUGUGAAUGUUGUACAAAAAAAAGAGCAUCUUCAUCCACUCUAAAUGCUGCUUGUUUCUAAAUGGGAAUACGACAAUUUCCAGUGCAAAUUCAAAACAAAACUUUAAAAAAUAAACUACCAAACUCACAUUUAGGAAUUGACUCAACAAAUACCUGCAGAUGAUCUUUGCAGUCUGGUAUCGUAGGAGGGAAGGACAGCGUGUCAACGGCCUUGCAAAGUAUCAAUUAAUGUCUUUAACAGACUGUAACGGCUCAGAUAUUUCAUACAGUGAAACCUCCCACAUGUGGUCUGUGCUUACGGUUCAAAGUUCCUCCUCCCGGACCCCCCUAAAGGGAGUCUGUGAACAUGUAUCAUUCAUGUCUGGUUGUACUUUCCAAUUGCCAGCUAGAGGUAAACAGAAAGAUUCCACCGCCAUUGCAAGUGAAAGGACACAUAGCAUAGAGAAGAUGA
ensembl:lncRNA